rnacentral:rRNA from 1 species
GCGACCGGCGCACGGGUGAGUAACACGUAUCCAACCUGCCCAUUACUCAGGGAUAGGCUUCUGAAAGGGAGAUUAAUACUUGAUAUGUCAUAAUUUCGCAUGUCAUUAUGAUGAAAGAUUUAUCGGUGAUGGAUGGGGAUGCGUUCCAUUAGCUUGUUGGUGAGGUAACGGCUCACCAAGGCUUCGAUGGAUAGGGGUUCUGAGAGGAAGGUCCCCCACAUUGGAACUGAGACACGGUCCAAACUCCUACGGGAGGCAGCAGUGAGGAAUAUUGGUCAAUGGACGUAAGUCUGAACCAGCCAAGUAGCGUGAAGGAUGACUGCCCUAUGGGUUGUAAACUUCUUUUGUUCGGGAAUAAUAUGCCUUACGUGUAGGGUAUUGCAUGUACCGUUCGAAUAAGCAUCGGCUAACUCCGUGCCAGCAGCCGCGGUAAUACGGAGGAUGCGAGCGUUAUCCGGAUUUAUUGGGUUUAAAGGGAGCGUAUAUGGGCGAUUAAGUCAGUUGUGAAAGUUUCCCGCUCAACCGUAAAAUUGCAAUUGAAACUGUUUGUCUUGAGUGCAUCUG